AUUGAACGCUGGCGGCAGGCUUAACACAUGCAAGUCGAGCGAGCGGCGGACGGGUGAGUAAUGCCUGGGAAACUGCCUGAUGGAGGGGGAUAACUACGGGAAACGGUAGCUAAUACCGCAUACCAUCAGAUGUGCCCAGAGGGGAUUAGCUAGUAGGUGGGGUAAUGGCCUACCUAGGCGACGAUCCCUAGCUGGUCUGAGAGGAUGACCAGCCACACGGGAACUGAGAAACGGCCCAGACGUCUACGGGAGGCAGCAGUGGGUAAUAUUGCACAAUGGGCGCAAGCCUGAUGCAGCCAUGCAGCGUGAUUGAAGAAGGCCUUCGGGUUGUAAAGCACUUUCAGCGAGGAGGCGUUACUCGCAGAAGAAGCACCGGCUAACUCCGUGCCAGCAGCCGCGGUAAUAC
rnacentral:rRNA from 1 species